CCCACCCAAUUCCUGGGGCUGGCUCUUGGGUGGCUCCCAGGGGAGAGGGGGAGAGGGUCACACAGCUAACACAGGCCCCUGCGGAGCUGCCUGGCAGGGGGGUGAGCCCCCUGGGCUCCAGGAACCUACUGGAAACCACUGUGGCGAAGUCUAGAGACAGAUCCCAGUUCGGGGCUUCAGCCCACUCCCAAGGGACACCAAGUGUGAGUGAGUCGUCAGACUCCGAGGAGAAGCCCCACGGCCACAGCGAUGCGCUCCAGGACCCCCCCCCCCCAGAAUGACCCUGAAGGAAGCCUCCUGCCCGGGGACCAGUGACCCCGAGACCAGGGCCGGGAUGACCCCACCACUGUGGUAAAGCCUGCACAGCCGACACUGAGGCCCAGGAGGGGGCUGUCAGAGGUUGAGAAUGCAGACCGGUCCGUCUGGAAGCGUACACCCACGGAGUCGUGUGGCUGUCCUAGAGGCAGCUCACGGGCUGCACACCCUGGGCCACCAGAGGGCCAAGCUGUCACCUGCAGGGGCCCGAGGUCCACGCAGCUGUGCUCAGACCCCACCCGUACCGCUCAGGUGCUGGGUGCCCCUAGGCAGAAAGGAGACCCUCACAAUGAACACCUCCUAGAUUAUUUCCCAGGUGAACUACCCUGCUCGACACCAGAAUGUUCUCUUGAGGUGCAACUGAGAGGGGCUGCAGCGACCGUGGGAGCUGACCGCCAGCGGAGGCCUGCGAGGGACGUGACCGAAUGAAUAACCAGUGUCUCCCCGGAACUCACUUCUCUGCUGCUCCCGGCACCUGCUUCUGCCCGGCCCGCCUCCCAAUCCUCAACUCCUCCUGGGUCCCCCAUCUCAACAGUGUCACUGUCCUCCACUGGCCACACAAGCCUUGGUCCUGAGUGUCACCUGGUUUGCCAUCCCUCCCACCCCGGUCCCCAGGCCGUCACCCCAGUCUGUGUCACCUCCUGCAGCAAUGUACUUCUGACCAGGUCGCCCCCCUUCCAUGGCUUCCCUUGGGCCUCAGUUCAACCCCAGAUUCCUGGGCCUUCAGCCCCAGGCCUCCACUCCCCCCUUGCCCCUCCAGCCCCUGCUCCUGCUGUGCCCUCCACUGAUGGGCUCAGGCAUCCCCUCUGGGAAGCCCCCUGUGGUGACCCCAGGCCCUGACACUGUGGACAUUAGUCAUUUCCCUACUAAAGGGAAGCCCUUUAAGGGUCCGGGCCACGUCUUUUUCUCCCUCACAUUCCCUCCCCGGGGGGCUGAGUCAGCCCCCGCCCACGGUCAGGGCUCUGCUCAGGGUUCUGACCUCUGGUUGUCCCUGGGAGCCACCGUGUGUUCAUCGGUGACACAUCUGAGUGACCCGUGCAGCCCUGGAAGGGCCGGGAGGUCCCAGGCCCACAGCCUGUGCAUGGCAGCAGCCGCCCCAGGCUUUUAGAACGGGACUCAGCCGGGCACUGCUGGCCCUGGGCACUGGGGCUCUGGGAAGUUGGCAGAGAGCCCCAUGCCCUGCCUGGCACCCAGGAGGAAACAGGUGUGUGCAGGCCCCACGGCCUCUGGGAGGAGCCCUUCCUGGGUGGCCUUGGCCUCAGCCCAACACCUGUCCCGAGGGCGCGACGGCCACCACGUCCCCCAGCUGGACGGUCCCGGCGCCCAGAGAGGCUGGUGGGAGGUCCCACGGGCAGACGCCGGCCGAGUCCUGGGAUUCGCUCCCUUGGGUCUCCCCAGGACGUGCCACAGGAGCCUCAGUUGCACACACCCGAGAUCAUCACAGCCAGACCUGUCCUCGCACGUCCUGAGCCGGAGCACUGGCAGCCUCAGUGUCCACUGCACUUUCUCUUUCCUCCAACACCCAGUUGGUCAUCGAGUCCUGUUGAUGCCAGAGCCUAAGUCCACCUAAGACCAAUGCCAGCCUGCUGCCUGCCAGCUGGAGUCCCAGUCUCUGCCCAGACCCUUGGCAUCACUGUCCUUGAGCCUGGUUGGUCACCGCAGCCCACACUGCCCAUGGUGGCCUUGGUCAGCACUCUGGCUGGACUUCCCUUCCUGAAGGGGGUCGGAGCACCGGCCACCCCUCCUUCGGACCUGCUCCUGCGCUCCCCACCGAGGCCAGCGACAAACGCCCAGGGUCUCCCCUGCGCCUCUGCGCCCUGAGUGCACAACAUCCAGGUGUUUCCCUGCCUUCAACAAAUUCUAGAGUUCGGCACAUGUAUCCAUCACAGACUGAGAAGAAAGACGAGGAAAGCCGCUCCCUGCCAGCAAGCGGCUGGACGGAAGAGGCUUGGGGUUCCCGGCACCUUGCUCUCUGCCACUAGGAUGCUUUCAGCUGCAAGGAACAGCAGCCUGAUGGAAGUGGACUAACCGAUAAGGAACGCAGGUGUCCUUUCCCAAGGACGGGCAGCUCCGGGCUGACCAGUGUGCCCCGUAGUGCCAUCCUGAAAGGCGGUUCUCUCACACUUUCACCCUUCCAUGCUCUGGUGUGUCCCCCAAUGGUUGUGAGCUGACUGACAAGAUUCUGGGAGCCACCUGCAGACCUGACCUUCAGCAAAAAAAGGAAAUCACCCACACCUCGGAGUCUUUCACUUACUAGGAAACCUCACUGGCAGCCACUCACAUCUGAUUGAAUCUGACUGGAUCACAUGUGCUGUGCUAAGCCAAUCAUUGGCUAGGAGAGCCACGGGCUUAGCCAAUCAGAGUCUAUCCCUGAGGGCCUGCCUGGUCCAAGGAAAGGCUAAGACCCGCGGGGCCUGGGGGUGCGUUCCUCCCAAGCGGGGCUCCCAGAGUGCGCGUGCCAGCUCUGCAGUCUCUCGGGGGACAGAGUUGGGGAACCGGAGGGAGGUCACCUAAAGGCCCACAGCUGGUAGGUGGGGAGCUUAGUGUCACCACACCCACCCAGGGAAAGUCCUUUUUAAAAGUUGAAUAUAAUUUGCAUAGAGUAGGAUUUUGAACUGCACAAUUCAGUGGUUGUCGGUAUGCUCACAGGUUGUGCAACCACCACCACAAUCAAUUUUAGAACAGAUUCAUUACCCCAAAAAGAAACCACUUGUCAUGUAGUGGUCAUCCCCCAUUUCCCUCCCGCUAGCCCUAGAUAACCACUAAUCUACUUUCUAUCUCUGGAUUUGCCUGUUUGGGACAUUUUACAUAAUGGGAUCAUGCAGUAUGUGGUCCUUUGUUUCUGGCUUCUUCCACUUGACAUAAUUCCAAGGUUCAUCCGCGUUGUGUGUAUCCACACUUCGUGCCUUCUGUUGCCAAAUACUGUUCCGUACGGCCGCGCCACGUUGUGUUUAUUCCUUCCUCAGCUGAUGGACGUUGGUGGUUUCCACCUUUUGGCUAUCGUGACUAAUGCUGCUAUGAAUAUUCGCGAAUAAUUUUUGUCUGGACAGAUGUUUUCAUUCCUCUAGAGUAUAUACCUAGGAAUGAAAUUUCAGGUGAAAGUCUUUCUAGGAGUUGAAAACACAGACAUUUCAGGGGUUAGUGGUUGGGGUUAGUGUUUGAGCACUGGAGAGAGAGGAGGUUGUGGUCCGGGCUGUUCCGUCUGGGGACUGUAACACCUUGGCCAGAGGCCUUCUCUGGGGGGGCUUGGUGACAUUGGUGCUGGAUGGAUGUGCCCAGCCCUGACAGGGUACCUGCAUGCCCACAUCCUUCCUGGGGAAGAGGCCAAGGUUCCUCUGACAUGGUACUGGGGAGACAUGGUGGUGGCCAUCCACAGAGGGCAGAGAGGGCACAGGACGUGGGCAUCUGCUGUGGCUUUGGCUCCCUGACCAAGCCCUUUGAUCCUCAGAGACUGGACGACCCUACCUUCCUGCUGUGAUCAGCACUAGUUUGUCAUUUGCUCUUUAACAUCCACAUGGCUUUACUCCGCUGUAUCCACUUGGACUUGAAAGUAAACCUUAGCUAAUUCAAAUAAAAUAGCUAUGUAAAGCUCAGCCAGAAAUUUAAUUGUAUUUACUAAACAGCUAAUAAAUAUUUACUACAAAU